rnacentral:rRNA from 1 species
GACGAAAGCUGGUGGCGUGCUUAACACAUGCAAGUCGAACGGAGUGGCGAACGGGUGAGUAACACGUGGGUGACCUGCCCUGCACUUCGGGAUAAGACUGGGAAACUGGGUCUAAUACCGGAUAGUGUGGGAUGGGCCCGCGGCCGAUCAGCUUGUUGGUGGGGUAAUGGCCUACCAAGGCGGCGACGGGUAGCCGGCCUGAGAGGGUGGACGGCCACAUUGGGAAUGCGACACGGCCAAGAAUCGUACGGGAGGCAGCAGUGGGGAAUAUUGCACAAUUGGCGGAAGCCUGAUGCAGCGACGCCGCGUGGGGGAUGACGGCCUUCGGGUUGUAAACUCCUUUCACCCUCGACGCGGUAUAUGGAGAAGAAGCACCGGCUAACUACGUGCCAGCCGCCGCGGUAAUAC